CAAAGCACUUUGAAGAGAGAGUUAAAGAGGACGUGAAACUGGCACGAUGGAAACGGAUAGAGCUAGCGAACUCGUCUGUAUUCAGCCAACGGUCCUGGGUUCGGUUCUGUUGUGCUUCAGUCGCUGUGCAUGCAGGAUUGAGCGCCUGGGAUCUAAGGUGCAUUUGCGGACGAUUGCGCUGAGACUUGUGGGACAGCGGUAGGACCCAGUUCAUGAGGCAACCUUUUGGUUGUACCCUGGGCUAGCAUACGACUGUUUGUCCUGCUCGUAUUUUUGGUUCGGGCAUCUAGUGAAGCUGCAGCUGGUGUGCUCUCGUGGUGGCAAUAGCACGCUUUGCCUAACUUGGGCGUUCCGGUUGCUGUGUAGCUCACGAACUACCUCUCGGUGUAAAAGCUGGUCAUCUAUCCGACCCGUCUUGAAACACGGACCAAGGAGUUUAGCGUAUGUGCGAGCCGCUGGGUAUUGUAAAACCUAUGGGCACAAUGAAAGUGAAGGCUCGGUUGCCGAGCUUACAUGCGACCGUGCUGGUCUCGGCCAGUGCGGGCAGCAUGGUCCCGUUUCAGUCGCUUGCGAUGGAGCGGAGACAGAGUGCAUGCGCUGAGACCCGAAAGAUGGUGAACUAUUCCUGAGCAGGACGAAGCCAGAGG
rnacentral:rRNA from 1 species